AGUUUGGGUCAAUUUCAUUGCAAUUUAAAUGGAAAUAUGCCCGCACGUCUAUCUCAAUGCAAUUUAAGUCUGGGUCAAUCCAACAUUAGGCAGUAUUUUUUCAGCUACUUACUGAACCGGAGUUGAGGACAAAUGAUCUAAGGUCAGGGAUAUAUCACUUCCAGCCUGAGACCAUCGUGUUUACGGACCUGGAAGAACUGACUUGAUUAUAUCUCCACCCUCUUUUCACAGCCAAGUUGUUUCUAUGCAAGUUGUAGUUGUUCUCUGAAUAAUUUUCAGCACGGAAAAAUAAAGAUGUGUGCAUCUCCGUACAUAUAUGCAUAUCAUAUAUAUGUGAUCUUAUAAUUCAGACCAGAGUCAUAGAAAUAAUAUGGUGUAUGUAAGCUCUCUGGAAGGAAUUUAUUUGUUUCUUGAAAUAAGUUAUCUCUGAACAUUUUUGAGAACCUAUAGUAUCUAUGGCCAAUUCUGUUCUUCUCUAUGAAUUGCACAGGUCUGGCCUCUUUCGAAAAAGAAACGUCUACAGUUGACAUUUUCAUCUAAUUUUGUUGCUCGAACUUCCUAGCAUCGGAUCAAUAUGUGACAUUGAAUGUGCUCCAUUAUUAAAUCGAAAAACUCAGUUUCGUCCACAUUUUUCUGAAUGCAUCACUUGGCGACAUUUUUGCUCAUUAUGUGGAUGCAUGGAGGUCAUGAUACUCUGAAUUAUCACAGGGUAGCAGCAUCAUGCAGUAACACUUGGGCAAGCCAUUUAACAACCACUUUUUUUGUAGGCAAACGUAAAACUGAUGUGCUACAGUUCUUAGUGCGGUGCUUGGGAUUUGGCCUGUACGAUUUGUCAAAAUAGAAGAAGAGGUGAAACAGUUCUUAGCUGAGCCUAUAUAUAUAUUUAUUGGUAUACUAUGUCUAUGUAGUCACCUUGAUGAGAAUUGUUAAUUGGCUGGCUGGUACCAGGUUCCAAAAUAAUUAUUUAUAUAUUGUAUAAAAAUGCAAUUCUUGUCUAAUGUCAUUGAUCAGGUUACUGUCUAACUGCAUUGAUCAGGGUUAUUGUCUAAUGGCAUCGAUCAAGGUUAUUGCCAACCAAGCUGAUAACUUAACAUGUAAUUCUUGUCUAAUGGCAUUGAUCAGGGUUAUUGGCAAACAAGCAAGUAAAUAUUUAGGAGAUAACUACAUUUCUGCAGAUGAGAGUUAUUGGCAAACAACCUGCUAGACUCUGAUCUGGUGGACACCUUGAUAAGAAUUUGUGUAUGGCCAUGUAUAGUAUGAAGAAGACGACCAGAAUAUUAAGUUGGAGUUGGUCUCAGUCAGUUGUGCCAAGUCGUGGAAGACUGCAGGUAAUAUGGAUUUGAAGGACUGCGACGAUGUGUAAGUUGUUCCUCUUGUGACAAGAGGCUGUUCAAAGGAAGGGGAGAUGCGUGUGGCCUGGGUGACUCAGGCCACCGUUCAGGGAUUGCUGAUGAUAGGUUUGACUUCGAUCCAAGCUCUUCAAAAUUGCUAGGAGGAAAUGGGAAGAUCUGUAGCAAAGCAUGAGCAUUUUGCUGAACCGGAUUCUUGAUGUGUACACUUCGAGGCAAACGUUAAACUGAAGUGCUACAGUUGCGGUGCGAGGAAUUUGGCAUGUACUCUGAAUUCAAAUGCGCCGUUGAUGCGUGCCUUCCUCGCCCUGCAGCCCUGUCUUGGAAGGUGGGUAAGAACUAUUCUACUGAGUGCAGGAUGCAGGGCAAAAACAUCCAGUAAACUACUUUUCUUGAGCCCAGGAUGGGAUGCAACAACAGAUGGUUGACCAUGAUUUUUAUCCUAUCGCCCACGUUUAAGUGCCGCAUGUGGAUUCUCUAACUUCUUUAUUUCAUCAUGUCACAUGCCUGUAGGUAUUUUCAUAGUUUAUAGGAGAUACAUGAUGCCACAAAUGGAAUGAUGAAAUCUUUGAUUGGAUUAUUCAUGGCAGUACUAUCCCUCACAUAUAGUCUAUCUUAUCAGGAGCAGCUUGACUAAAACUAUGGUAUGGACAAUUUGGAUGAUGCACAGAGGGGCUAAAUGUCUUAGCAAUAUACUAAAAAAGCUUGCAGUCUGAAGUACAAAUGUUAUUUCUUUUUAUCAGCUUUAAUGUUUGAUAACGAAUAACCAUGAUAAUUAAGUGAGUGGAUCCCUCAUUGAACAUAACAAACGUUUCAUACUUUCCUAAUACUGGAUAUACGUGAGAUUUGUGCAUAUUUACUUACUUUCUGUGAAAACUACAUGGUACACAUUUCUUGCUACAAUGGCAUGCAUGCUAAAAAAUCUCAGUUACCACUGUAUAAUUCCAAUUCGGAUUAGAACAUGUGCAUCGCACAAUUUAAUUGGCUCACUACGGUCUUAACCUUCUAACGAAAACAGGAAACGCUCAUAAUCUUUGGUUAUUUGUCCUCACAGUUUUUUUCUUGAGCAGAGCUUCCUCGGGUGAUGCUGAUGAAGGCAACCUACUCAGAACUUGAAAAAAAGAUUGUGAUAAGAAGGGGUGGAGCUGGGUAUGCAACAGACAAGAAUGAUGGCCCCCUUGUUUUGUUUUUGGUAACCCACUUCAUUCACUGCUGCACUUGUUGGUUCGACCCAUAGUCUCUGUGGAUUCAGUUCUUGAUGUCAGCAAAUAUUUUUUUGUCCAUCAGAUGUGUGUGAGUGCAUAAUCAAUAGUUUUCCUCUUUUUUGUACCUUCUUAAUUUAUACAGGCCAUUUGUCACAAAGUUAAACUGUCAUUCCUUA